UACGUAGGGGGCUAGCGUUGUCCGGAAUCAUUGGGCGUAAAGCGCGCGUAGGCGGCCCGGUAAGUCCGUUGUGAAAGUCAAAGGCUCAACCUUUGAAAGCCGAUGGAUACUGCCGGGCUGGAGUCCGGAAGAGGCGAGUGGAAUUCCUGGUGUAGCGGUGAAAUGCGCAGAUAUCAGGAAGAACACCCGUGGCUAAGGCGGCUCUCUAGUACGGUACUGACGCUGAGACGCGAAAGCGUGGGGAGCGAACAGG
rnacentral:rRNA from 1 species